rnacentral:misc_RNA from 1 species
CGCUCUUCUGUGAUGUCAACAAAAGUUGGGUCUGCAGCAGAUACAUUGACUUUAUUCAAUGGCAUCGGUACAAGUUCUAGGCUGAAUUUGUCUUUGAGGACGGCAGUGGGAUCCACAAUCCCCAGUAGGACCAUGACAACAGCAGGAAAGUCUGUUGAAUCAGCCUCAAAAGUUCCUUCAGAACCCAUCACAGAUGAUGCCCCCCGCAUCAAAUUUAAGAGACUCGAUAAAACCGCCAGGCAUAUAAUGCAGAUUCUGGACAAGGAAGCAGUGGAGGAAGCAAGGACACAGAGGGAGAUACCUGAUAUAAAGCCUGGUUAUAUUGUGCAACUUAAAGUGGAAGUACCUGAGAAUAAGAGACGUGUCUCAAUUGUGAAAGGCAUUGUUAUUG